UACGUAGGGUGCAAGCGUUGUCCGGAAUUAUUGGGCGUAAAGAGCUCGUAGGCGGUUUGUCGCGUCUGCUGUGAAAACUCGGGGCUCAACUCCGAGCUUGCAGUGGGUACGGGCAGACUAGAGUGCGGUAGGGGAGACUGGAAUUCCUGGUGUAGCGGUGGAGUGCGCAGAUAUCAGGAGGAACACCGGUGGCGAAGGCGGCAUCCUGGACCGACAUUGACGCUGAGGAGCGAAAGCUAGGGGAGCAAACGGG
rnacentral:rRNA from 1 species